rnacentral:rRNA from 1 species
GAGAGUUUGAUCCUGGCUCAGAGCGAACGCUGGCGGCGUGCUUAACACAUGCAAGUCGAACGUGAAAGGGAGCAAUCCUGAGUAAAGUGGCGUACGGGUGAGUAACGCGUAGGUAAUCUACCCCAGAGUCUGGAAUAACCUGCCGAAAGGCGGGCUAAUACUGGAUAGAGCGAAGGAACUCGUAAGGAGUUUUUCGGGAAAGGGAGGAAGCAAUUCCCUUUGCUCUGGGAUGAGCCUGCGUCCCAUCAGCUAGUUGGUAGAGUAAAAGCCUACCAAGGCUAUGACGGGUAGCUGGUCUGAGAGGAUGAUCAGCCACACUGGAACUGAAACACGGUCCAGACUCCUACGGGAGGCAGCAGUGGGGAAUCUUGCGCAAUGGGCGAAAGCCUGACGCAGCCACGCCGCGUGAGUGAAGAAGGCCUUCGGGUUGUAAAGCUCUGUCGUCCGGGACGAAAAGCUUUAGGGUGAAUAGCCCUGGAGUGUGACGGUACCGGAAAAGGAAGCACCGGCUAACUCCGUGCCAGCAGCCGCGGUAAUACGGAGGGUGCAAGCGUUGCU